rnacentral:rRNA from 1 species
GACGAACGCUGGCGGCGUGCUUAACACAUGCAAGUCGAACGGUGAAGCGCCUUCCUUUUUGGUGGGUGUGGAUGAGUGGCGAACGGGUGAGUAACACGUGAGUAACCUGCCCCCUUCUUCUGGAUAACCGCAUGAAAGUGUGGCUAAUACGGGAUAUUCUGGGUCUGUCGCAUGAUGGGUCUGGGAAAGAUAUUGUUUCGGUGGGGGAUGGGCUCGCGGCCUAUCAGCUUGUUGGUGGGGUGAUGGCCUACCAAGGCCGUGACGGGUAGCCGGCCUGAGAGGGUGGACGGUCACACUGGGACUGAGACACGGCCCAGACUCCUACGGGAGGCAGCAGUGGGGAAUAUUGCACAAUGGGCGCAAGCCUGAUGCAGCGACGCCGCGUGAGGGAUGGAGGCCUUCGGGUUGUGAACCUCUUUCGCCAGUGAAGCAGGCCUGCCUCGUUUGUGGGUGGGUUGACGGUAGCUGGAUAAGAAGCGCCGGCUAACUACGUG